UGAUGAUUAUUUCAGAGGUUGUUGGGAUGUUCAUUCAUGAGCAGCUCAAUUCUUGUAAGCAGCGCUGAUCGCAAAUAAAACCUUGUAUCUGCAUUCAUCCAGUCUGCAUGAUUCGUCUUCUUUAGUUAGAGUCUUGCUUGACUGAGCUGUCGGGUCAAUGUGGAGUUUGGAGUCAGAUAAUAGCGAAGUAUUAAUGGAGUAGUGUUAAGUAGUACAUUAUAGUAUGGGACAAAAAAUAUGGGGUAUGGGGUAAAAAUAUUUUCCACAUUGUUUUGGUGACCCCGACAUGAUAGAAUAUACGCGACUGGAACAAAGCACAACGGAGCCCCGGACCUGGGACCUGCGGUUGCAGCUGCCACCCACAGACCAGACACUUGGCCAUCUAGGACAAAGAACCUGUGGAUUUGCAGGGAGAAUCAUCAGAUACUCCCUCAGUCCUCCAGGUUGUUGAGCCAAUCCUGCCGCUGCUGCCCACAGAAACUCACCCCACAUCUUCAGCUGUUGUUCU